rnacentral:rRNA from 1 species
AACGAACGCUGGCGGUGCGUCUUAAGCAUGCAAGUCGAACGGUAAGAAGAGAGCUUGCUCUUUUCCUAGAGUGGCGGACUGGUGAGUAACGCGUGGAUGAUCUACCUUAAGAUGGGGAUAGCUUCUAGAAAUAGGAGAUAAUACCGAAUAACCUUAUCGUGUUAUGACGUGAUAAGAAAAUGGAGCGUUAGCUCCGCUUGAAGAUGAGUCUGCGUCCCAUUAGCUAGUUGGUAAGGUAAAGGCUUACCAAGGCGAUGAUGGGUAUCCGGCCUGAGAGGGUGAACGGACACAUUGGGACUGAGAUACGGCCCAAACUCCUACGGGAGGCAGCAGCUGAGAAUCUUCCGCAAUGGACGAAAGUCUGACGGAGCGACACCGCGUGAACGAUGAAGGCCGGAAGGUUGUAAAUUCUUUUGCAGACAAAGAAUAAGGAUAGAAGGAAAUGACUAUCUGUGACGGUAUAGCGAAUAAGCCCCG